rnacentral:lncRNA from 1 species
AACUAAUUUAUGGCUUCUAGAAAUACACAUCACUGAAGUGUAACAUACUUUAUCCUUUAGAGGACAUAGUGUUUCCUUCUUAGAGGGAUUAUUGCUUGGAUUAGGGGUGAGGUGUAAGGUGCACCUAAGAUAUUAAUAGAUGUUUAGCUUAUGGUGGUUCUCUUCCUCCUCUCUCUUUGUAACCUUCUUUGAAUUAAUAGUAUACAUAUUUUGUAAUAGGACUAGAUACUAUGUCUUGUUAUUGACUGACUUUUUUAUGCAUUCAGUGUAUACUGAUAGUAUACAUUCAUGCCAGGUAUAGGUGUUAUUGUUAUUUUUAUAGUAUCUGUUGAUAUUAGUAUAAUUUACUGUUUCAAAGCAGAAAUAUUCAAGCCACAUCCACUAUUUAUACAAAGACACAUAUGCAUAACCAGGAGAGAUAAGCAGACAACAAGCAUUAACAAAGCCUGUGACCAUUUGUGGAAUACAGAAGAAAUAUAUUUUCCCCUACUUGGAGAAUAAUGAAACUUUAGUUCACUAUGGGAGCAGAAGGGGCAAUCAAUGUCCAAAACUAAUCAUGCCAGCUCUGAGAAAAAGCAACUCGGAAAGAAAAAAAAUGGACAAAAUAUCUGCAUAGCUUGCACUUCAGACAUAAUU